AGUGAACGCUGGCGGCGUGCUUAACACAUGCAAGUCGAACGAGAUCGGAUUAUAGCUUGCUAUAAUUGUCAGCUAAGUGGCGCACGGGUGAGUAAUGUAUAGGUAAUAUGCCUCUUACUAAGGGAUAACAAAUGGAAACGUUUGCUAAUACCUUAUACUCCUUAUUAACAGAAGUUAAUAAGGGAAAGAUUUAUUGGUAAGAGAUUAGCCUGUAUUGUAUCAGUUAGUUGGUGGGGUAAUGGCUUACCAAGACUAUGACACAUAACUGGUUUGGGAGGAGGAGCGGUAAAACUGGAAUGGAGACGCGUGCCAGACUCCUGGGGGAGGCAGCGGGGGGAAAUAUUGAAAAAUGGACGAAAGUCGGAUGCAGCAACGCCGCGUGGAGGAUGACAAUUUUCGGUGCGUAAACUCCUUUUAUAUGAGAAGAUAAUGACGGUAUUAUAUGAAUAAGCACGGGCUAACCCCGUGCCAGCCGCCGCCGAAA
rnacentral:rRNA from 1 species